CACCCGACCAAGUUAUCCAGUGAUAAUAAAUAUUAAAACAUGAAAGAUUCGCGCCCUGUAGCCAGCAGAAGAAAAAAAAAUAUAUAUAUAUAUAAAGAGAAAAUAAAAUGGCUGGGAAACUGACCCUCCACUUUACAUACGCGCUCCCUGGUGUUGCCGAUGAAUACAAACCAGGGGCAAAACAUGUGAUAAUAAUAAUAAAUGGAACAAAGAAGACAGAAGGAAAAUGUUUACAGUGUUCAUAAGGAUCGGGGCAAUCCCUAUGAUAAACGAGGUGGAACAAAUGAUAGGAAAAAAAAUUGUCUCCACAAAUGAGAUGUGAAGUUCAUUGUGUUGUUGGGAGCCACGGGGUCUUGGAGGCGUACGAGCUCAAAGCAAGACUUGAAGCCGAGACUGGUGUGACACUGGCAGACUGCGCCGGUGAAGCAAGCGAGAGAAAAUUCCCGAAAUAUUUUCUCCGAGACGCCAUGACAGCUCCGAGGCGGUGGACUACGAGCCUAAAGCGAAUCUUCCGCGAAUCUUUGGCGCUCUUACAAUCAUUUAGCUGGCGAAAUAUGCUCUCUUUUUUUCGCUCCUUAAAAAAAAAAGAAAAGAAGAAAAAA